rnacentral:rRNA from 1 species
UCGUAACAAGGUUUCCGUAGGUGAACCUGCGGAAGGAUCAUUAUUGAAUAAACUUGAACAGGCUGUUGCUGGCCUCUCUCUAGGGGGGGUAUGUGCACGCUUGUCAUAUUUAUCUCUCCAACUGUGCACAUUCUGUAGAUCUGGAGCCCUUUGUAUUCUCGAAUAGAUUGAGGAUUGCUGUACUAGCUUUGCCUUGCAUUUCCAGAUCUAUGUUUUUAUCUUCACAAUGUGUCUAGAAUGUUGAAUUGAAAUGAUAAUCAUAUACAACUUUCAGCAACGGAUCUCUUGGCUCUCGCAUCGAUGAAGAACGCAGCGAAAUGCGAUAAGUAAUGUGAAUUGCAGAAUUCAGUGAAUCAUCGAAUCUUUGAACGCAUCUUGCGCUCCUUGGUAUUCCGAGGAGCAUGCCUGUUUGAGUGUCAUUUGAGUUCUCAAGGUCAUACUUUCGGUGUGGCUUUGGAUAUGGGGGUUUGCAGGCUUCUGAAAAAUGAAGUCGGCUCCCCUGAAAUGCAUUAGUGGUAUCUGAGCAGAGACUACUUACAGGUGUGAUAAUUAUCUAUCUAUGCCUCGGUAUGCUGCAUUGAACAGAUUGCACCGCUUAUAACAAGUGAAAUUUGACAAGUUUGACCUCAAAUCAGGUAGGACUACCCGCUGAACU